UACGUAGGGUGCAAGCGUUAAUCGGAAUUACUGGGCGUAAAGCGUGCGCAGGCGGCUUUGCAAGACAGAUGUGAAAUCCCCGGGCUUAACCUGGGAACUGCAUUUGUGACUGCAUGGCUGGAGUGCGGCAGAGGGGGAUGGAAUUCCGCGUGUAGCAGUGAAAUGCGUAAAUAUGCGGAGGAACACCGAUGGCGAAGGCAAUCCCCUGGGCCUGCACUGACGCUCAUGCACGAAAGCGU
rnacentral:rRNA from 1 species